rnacentral:rRNA from 1 species
AACCUACCUUUUAGUACGGGACAACGUUUGGAAACGAACGCUAAUACCGUAUACGCCCUCCGGGGGAAAGGUCAGCCGCUGAAAGAGGGGCCCGCGUCUGAUUAGCUUGUUGGUAGGGUAACGGCUUACCAAGGCAACGAUCAGUAGCUGGUCUGAGAGGAUGAUCAGCCACACUGGGACUGAGACACGGCCCAGACUCCUACGGGAGGCAGCAGUGGGGAAUAUUGGACAAUGGAGGCAACUCUGAUCCAGCAAUGCCGCGUGUGUGAUGAAGGCCCUAGGGUUGUAAAGCACUUUCAACGGUGAAGAUGAUGACGGUAGCCGUAGAAGAAGCCCCGGCUAACUUCGUGCCAGCAGCCGCGGUAAUACGAAGGGGGCGAGCGU